GCCGUGGUUGCCUAGCCUGGUAAGGCGCAGGAUUGCUAAUCCUGUCUCCGCAAGGAAUCGUGGGUUCAAAUCCCACUCACGGCG
rnacentral:tRNA from 1 species